UACGUAGGUGGCGAGCGUUGGCCGGAUUUACUGGGCGUAAAGAGCGCGCAGGCGGUCGUUCAAGUCGCGUGUGAAAGCCCCCGGCUCAACUGGGGAGGGUCACGCGAUACUGAUCGACUCGAAGGCAGGAGAGGGUAGUGGAAUUCCCGGUGUAGUGGUGAAAUGCGUAGAUAUCGGGAGGAACACCAGUGGCGAAGGCGACUACCUGGCCUGUUCUUGACGCUGAGGCGCGAAAGCUAGGGGAGCAAACGGG
rnacentral:rRNA from 1 species